UACGGGGGGGGCAAGCGUUGUUCGGAAUUACUGGGCGUAAAGGGCUCGUAGGCGGCCAACUAAGUCAGACGUGAAAUCCCUCGGCUUAACCGGGGAACGGCCUCUGAUACUGGCUGGCUGGAGUUCGGGAGAGGGAUGUGGAAUUCCAGGUGUAGCGGUGAAAUGCGUUGAUAUCGGAAGGAACGCCGGUGGCGAAAGCGACGGACUGGAUCUCAUCUGACGCUGAGGCGCGAAAGCCAGGGGAGCAAACGGG
rnacentral:rRNA from 1 species